UGACCACCUCCCCUUAACUUCCAGGCUCACUAGUCCCUGGCUGCAAAUGCCUUCGAUGCCACAAGCAAGAGGAGAGAUGUGGAGUGGGGACCGUCCAUCCCCAUGACCUGGCACCCCCUCGUCGAAGCUGUGCCCCUUUGGGUGCCCAGGGUCCUGCCAGAGCUCAGCCAGGGGCUCAAAGGUGUCCCCUUUGCCUUGCUGAUCCCCUCACUUCUGGGCUGGAACAUGGAAAUGACUCACUUUACAGAUGAGGGAACUGAGGCACAGAAUGGGGAAGAGUCUUGCCUGAAUUAUGCAGACCUGGCUCCUACUGGCUCAGAGAGAGGGGGCUGUUAAAGGCUCAUGGAUUUUGCAAGCCCGAUUUCAUUGGCGCUUUGAACUCAGCUGCAAGUGCAGCCGGUGGUGAAACAUUUACCAGCUCACCACUGACUGGAGGCCAGCCACAGCUUUUAGGGACAGUGUCUCUAGAAGGGUCCCUAGCUUAGAAAGUUGCAGAGAUUUGCAAGACCGCACCCUCGUCUCCAGAUCUGUCACGGAUCUGAGGCUGACGCCAAAGCCAAAGAAAUUUCUUCCUUCUCUCGUGAUGCCAACAGCUAGCUUCUCUCUCUACUCCACCAUAAUAACAUCCCAUCCUGUGCAAGAAGACUGUCCCGGCUGUCCCUUGGGGCAGGGAUUAAAGGUAUGACAGGGUUCAGAGCGCCUGGCCAGCUUGCCCUAACCUCUGACACCGUGUGAUCAAUUCCAUAAAUAUUUACC